UACGUAGGGACCGAGCGUUGUCCGGAAUCAUUGGGCGUAAAGAGCGUGUAGGCGGCCUGUUAAGUCUUGCGUGAAAUCUCGGGCUCAACCCCGAGCGGUCGUGAGAAACUGGCAGGCUAGAGUGCGGGAGAGGAGAGUGGAAUUCCUGGUGUAGCGGUGAAAUGCGCAGAUAUCAGGAAGAACACCCGUGGCGAAGGCGCUCUCUGGAACGCAACUGACGCUGAGACGCGAAAGCGUGGGGAGCAAACAGG
rnacentral:rRNA from 1 species